rnacentral:rRNA from 1 species
GACGAACGCUGGCGGCGUGCUUAACACAUGCAAGUCGAACGGAAAGGCCCUGCUUGUAGGGUACUCGAGUGGCGAACGGGGGAGUAACACGCGGGUGAUCUGCGCUGCACUUCGGGGUAAGCCUGGGAAACUGGGUCUAAUAUCGGAGAGGAGCCCUUUUGAGUGUGAUGGUUGGAUAGUUUUUUCGGUUUGGGAUGGGCGCGCGGCCUUUCUGCUUGUUGGUGGGGUAAUGGCUUACAAAGGCGGCGCGGGGUGGCGGGCCUGCGGGGGUGACGGGCCCAAUGGGGAUGGAGAACGGGCCCGACUCCUACCGGGAGGAAGAGGGGGGGAAUAUGGCAAAUGGGGGCGAGCCUGAUGCAACGAAGCCGCGUGGGGGAUGACGGCCUUUGGGUUGUAAACUCCUUUCGCUAGGGACGAAGCUUUUUGUGACGGUACCUAGAUAAGAAGCACCGGCUAACUACGUG